rnacentral:misc_RNA from 1 species
AAAAAAAAGGAAGAAGAAGAAGAAUUUAGUUGAGGUUGAUACUUACAAUAAAGCAGAGACAUAUAUAAAACAGAAAGGAAAGGCUUCCAACAAAGCAGGAAAUGAUAAUUAAAAGUAAGUAUACAUUUCAUGACGUUCCAUGCAUACUGCAGAUGCAAGUAGAAAUGUCUUAGUAGCUAUAGAAUAGUGACACAAGAAGGACAACAACAGUAAUCGUUGGCAAGAACAUUAAUUAACAACAUCAAUCUUCUCCACAGGGUCAUCUCCUACAGACAUCAUAAGACAACUAAAGAAUUCAUCAAUAUAUGAGCUUGAAUAACUUUCUUUAAAAUGAAGCUGAACAACACAAAUUUUGACGCAUAAAUUAGAAAAUACAAAAUGCAUUUAACUGUCCAUAAUAUGCUUUACAAGCAUGUCUAUUGCCAAAGUAAAAUUAGAGCACUCCCACAGAACCACACAGCUUCUUUCUCUUUUUCCUUUAAUUGAGUGCAUAAGAAUUCUAGAAAAUUCACUCUCUUAGUGUAAUUUGCUCAGAUUCUACACAAACAAACAAACAAACAAAAACAACAGGAACUGCAUAAAUAAUGCAUGAAAAUGAAUCCUAGCCUUGACAUCUAGACAGUAGAAUGGAGGUGAGCAAAUAGUAAAAUGGAUGUUUAUUAAUCCCAGCUUUAAAUAUAAGCUAAAUUAUUUUAUUACUUCUAUUGACAAAAAGAAAUUAGCUUUUCGCAUGAGUUUCAUUACAUAAAUAUUAUUUUAGGCUGUGUAUCUAGUAGUCUACUUGUAUGGCCGGAAAAGCAGGUAUAUCCAGGAGUAGACCCAGCCGGUCCAGUUAGGAACUGGAACAUUCCAACCCAGAACCAAAACCAGACUGAAACAGGUCAAAACCGGUGUUGAACUGGACCAUAACUGUCAGUUCAGACUGGUCCACCUAUAGAAGUUACAUAAGAGCAUUCGAGUCAAUGGCAUGUUGUUAGUUGAAAUAUGGAAACAUGUCACUGGACAUUGGCGUCUAGUUUGUCAAAGUUGACCACAAGAUUAUUUUCUACUCAAAUAGUACAACCAUAAAAUUACAUAUUCAUACUUACUAGUCAUACAAGACUUCUAGAACAUGCAACCUCUGGUUGUUUCUAGCAACACUUAUUAAUUACCACUACUUCAUGCAUAUUGCAUGAUCAUGAAUCUUCUAAGAAAGCAGCUUCCAUUUCAUCAGACCACAACAAAACUAUGUCAUGAGAUGAAGUACAAUAUGGAAGGGUACAUAUAAGAACAGUAUAAUUAGAUGUUACUAAUUAUAGUAGCUUCUAAUCUAAAGAAGGAUAAACCCUUGCCUUGAAAUUGUCCUCUUCUCCCUGAAGCUCUCAAAUCAUUAACCAGCGAAACAAGCUUCGAAACUUCCACAUCAUCAAGCAAUUGCUCAUAUAAUUUGAGCCCAUCAACCACAUUAACCGUCUUUCCAUCAACUAUCUCUGAACCAACAAAUGUUUUUGGAGUUACAGUGAGAUUCUGCUUCACACUCUGAUUCUGAGUGGAACGAGCAUCAUUCUCUUUUGGACUGGAUUGCUUAUCCAUAGCCUCAGACUCAGCUUCCAAAUUCUCAGACAAGGUUCCUUCUGAAUUUUCUGAACCCUUCAUGUGGUUAUCUAUGUGUGGCUUUGCAACAGCAUCUGCUCCCAUGACAAGUAAAUGAAUGAACAUCCAUGUUCCCAAAAGAAGUCUACGAUGCAAGGUGUUAGCUGUAGUUUCAACUGAUUUUGUAUCUUUCAUAAUUUUGAGACUUUGAUUUAAUUUCACUUUGUAUGAUGUUAAUAAGGCAGAAUACAUAAUGUUUUCAACAGGAAAACAAAAUAGAACCAAAACCAAAUCAAAAGCCAGAUUAGGAAAGCCAAUCUUCUUCAGAAGCAAAGUAAAGAGAAAAAAAGACAAGAAUCGGGAAAAAAACAGCAUUUAACAAAGUAAAAUUCUUAGUUUUAACAGUUACAAGCUUCUUAGAAAUAAAUCCUGACACUAGGACUUGCCUUUCAGCACAGAUGGAGUGCACAACUAUUUGGCAAUAUAAGCAUGAACAAAAUCAAUCAACUACCAUAUUAAGAGGCAGCACAACUUCAACAAGCUGCAAAGAUGUACAAUUUAAUCCUUGACUUAAUACACCUACAUCACCUCUAAGGACAGGAUGCGAGGAUGCCCCAAAAAGAAGGAGCGUGUUAUAGUUAUAUGAGGUGGGGUGGGACAAGAUUCCUGUAUUACUUCUCAAAACAGAAACGAAAAGAAAUUAGAUGCAGAGUACAUGUUAAAAAUUAUAAUUGGAAAAGGUAGACUCAAUCAAGUGACAGCAAUAUGUAGAUGAUAAAACACUUCCCUAAUCAGCCUCCGCAAAAUGCGUGAAUUCAAAAUCAACAAAGGAAGAAGCUUCCUUGAUUCAUUGACAUACACAUGUAAGAAAUAUUCAUAUAAGGCAAAUCCAUAUGAUAACAUGAACACCAAAUCCUUUUCAAUCACAAACUUCAAUGAAUACGUGAAGUUAAUAAAACUAAUUCCUGCUAUAUCAAGCCACAAGAAUUAUAACAUUAAUCAGAAAACAUAAUCAAGAAUCACGUUCUAAAUACAAAACCCGCACUUGCCUUUCUUAUCCUCAGCAAGUGCUCGACUCUUAUCCUCCAGUUUCUCACCAUCACCACCUGAUUUGAUCUCCUCGAAUUUGUCAUUCCCACCAUUCCCUGAAGAAUUCCAAUCAAAACUAUGACUUUCUACACUAGAAUUAACCGCUUCUUUCACUACCUCACCACCAACCUUAUGUCCUUUGUUAAACCCAGCACUCCACGAUCUCUUAAACUCCUUUCCCCCAACUUUCGCUUGAUCAUAAUAAUACCUUUGUUGUUGCUGCUGUUGCUUCCUUAAUGCCACCUGCUGCAACGCAACAAUCACCUCCCCCACCGAGAAAUACUGCUGCAUAUGCAGCACAGAGUUCCAAUUGCACCUCCUCUGCUGUAUACACCCAAUAACCAUGUCAUAUUCACCUGGUUCCCCAACACAGCGCAGGUGGUGGCAGAUGGAGUCAAUGAUCGCGUUGGCAGCCGCAAACUCCCCCCUCAACCACGAAAUAAACCCGUCACGCUCAUCGAUGGUGAACCAUUGGUGGCGAUGGUGAUGCUGCUGGUGGAUCUCAUUUCCAACUCCCCCGCCGCCACCGCCACCAGCGGGAAACUGCAUUUUAUCUGAUAAGACCACAUUUCCCGGUGGCAUUGCCAUUUGAUGACCCAGUAACUAAAAAUCCAAAACUACCACAUAUAAAGCAUCAGAACAAAAAUCCCAGAUCUAAUCUACCAAACAAAAAUGUAAAAUCUUGAAUCAAUUUAAGCGGAUCACGUGGAAUCAAACACUAAAAUCUCAACCCCAAAAAAUAACAAUAAACUUCAGAUAUCAUGAAACAUUCUCCCUGCAAAUUUGGCAACAAGCAUCACUAAAUUCACAACAAAAAGAAAGAAAAUUGAGGCAUAUUAAGAAGUGGGUAUUUAGAUAUGCACCGAUCCAGAAGUCUCUCUUACUACAACAUUAAAUAUAAUUCUCAUCCACAGGUGGUGGCGGGGAAUUGUAAGUAACUAAGAGGAAAUGCUUAAAAGAAAAGGUGAAUUGAGCAGAUCUAAUUAAAAAGAAAGAAAGUAUGUUAAUUGUGUGUUUAUCUGCAAAUGGGUAUACUUUAACAGCAAUGUAAAAAAAAAUUAAAGAAAAACAAUAAAAAGAUAAAGAACAGUGUAAGAUCUAGGGUUUGAGCAGUGAACAUGAGCUUGUAAGUGUACAGAGAAGGUGAAGGUCAGGAAAAUGGCUUAUAAAGUACGCAUCUUGUGAGCGCGUAUCUGUAUAUUUAUCUAUAUAAUAUAUGGUCUUAAAUGGUGGCUAUGAAAAAAACCAAAACUUUCUUUCCUUCUUUCUUUCUCAGUUUCUAUUUCUUUUCUAUCUUUGAUUUUCUCUCUCCAUCUUUAGCAGGUUUAAGUUUAGGGAGCUGACCACUAGUGUGAAUGGCCUAUUCAGAUUAGGACUAGGAUUGGGAAUAUUUUAGGGAUUGUAAGGAUAAUAUGGUCAUUUUGGGUGUUUGGAUUUUGGAUUGGAGUUUCCUGGUUUAGG